CAAAAGAGGCGGAAGUUCUUGGAGGUAAAAAGUCACAGGCAUGAAACUGACUCCUUCCGAGCUACUGCCUAGCAAGAGAAAAGAUACACAAGUUGGAAUGAAGAAAUAUAUUACAAUUCUGAUAAUGAUUACUUUUCAUCAUUCCAUCGCUAAUGAAACACAUGAAAGUGGCUCCAUCCUCGAAGUAAACAGUACAGAUGAGAUGAAUACAGCUGCGCUUCUCCGACUCCUGGUG